GUGAAAGACAGGAGAAACAACGACGUACUAAGAGUUUGAUAUCAUGCUGAAGCCGGCUGGAACUAAACCGCUUGGCGGCGCUGAGCGGUGUUCCCACUGCUUUGCAAAACUGCCCUACCACCGCACAGCGCCGCCAAGCGGUUUAGUUCCAGCCAGGCUUCAGCAUGAUAUCAGAUUUUGGUCUGUUAGCCUAUUCCGUUGUUUCUCCUGUCAUUCUUCUUCAUGCUUUUGGAUUCGUGAAUGUGUGAAGCGACGGAGCAUAAUACUCGGGCGUAUUUGUUAAACGUAGCAUAGUUUGGCUCAGCUUCAUAGAG